rnacentral:rRNA from 1 species
UACGGGUGGAGCAAGCGUUGUUCGGAUUUACUGGGCGUAAAGGGCGCGUAGGCGGUCAGCACAAGUCAGUUGUGAAAUCUCCGAGCUUAACUCGGAAAGGUCAACUGAUACUGUGCGACUAGAGUGCGGAAGGGGCAACUGGAAUUCUUGGUGUAGCGGUGAAAUGCGUAGAUAUCAAGAGGAACACCUGCGGCGAAGGCGGGUUGCUGGGCCGACACUGACGCUGAGGCGCGAAGGCCAGGGGAGCAAACGGG